GACGAACGCUGGCGGCGUGCUUAACACAUGCAAGUCGAACGGAAAGGCCCUGCUUUUGUGGGGUGCUCGAGUGGCGAACGGGUGAGUAACACGUGAGUAACCUGCCCUUGACUUUGGGAUAACUUCAGGAAACUGGGGCUAAUACCGGAUAGGAGCUCCUGCUGCAUGGUGGGGGUUGGAAAGUUUCGGCGGUUGGGGAUGGACUAGCGGCUUAUCAGCUUGUUGGUGGGGUAGUGGCUUACCAAGGCUUUGACGGGUCGCCGGCCUGAGAGGGUGACCGGCCACAUUGGGACUGAGAUACGGCCCAGACUCCUACGGGAGGCAGCAGUGGGGAAUAUUGCACAAUGGGCGGAAGCCUGAUGCAGCAACGCCGCGUGCGGGAUGACGGCCUUCGGGUUGUAAACCGCUUUCGCCUGUGACGAAGCGUGAGUGACGGUAAUGGGUAAAGAAGCACCGGCUAACUACGUG
rnacentral:rRNA from 1 species